GUCACCGGGUUUGGGUCUGCGGUGGGCUGAGUGGCCCUUAAUACCCCAGAGCCAGGCCUGCCCCCAUAGCUCAGCGAUGCACCAAGCGGCAGGAAUUGUCCUUGGGGGAGAGCACCGCAGCCUCUUGGACCCCUGUCCUGCACUCCCUGUACCCCUUGCACCCCUCACUCUGCACCCCCAGGUAGGCGGUCAGCUGUGUGCAGGAUGCAGGUCCACGGUGGGUUGUGGUGCUGGAGCUCGUCCCCGGCUCGCACCUUGCGCAAGCCCUUCUUGUGGGGAUUGCUGCUUCGGGGGCAGGCACGGGGGCGGGGGUGCCUCUUCGGGGGUCUCCCUGCCAGCAUCCAGCAGGAAGAUCCUCUCGGGAGGUGCGUCUACUUUGGGCGCCAAAGCCCGUCCUCAAAGCAGACAAGCCCGGGGAGCUGCAGGGAGAAGCAGAAGGGCAAAGCUCGACCGGGAGACUGCGGUUGUCCGAACAAAACUGACGACGAAGGGCGUUCUGUCCGGGUUGUUGUUUUUUUUUUUUUUUGCAAACCUCUUUCGAAAUCUCCUUUUGAAAAGCAUUCGUUUUGAAUUCGCACUUGCAUUAGCAGCGACCCGUGGAACCUAAAAUACCGACUUUAUCUCGGCCAGCACAGUGCCAGCUUGAGUGUCACAUCAUGAAUUUCCUGUUUGGUAGAAUCUUCUGGGUAAUUGAGAUUAUGCAAUUGUGUCAGGAAACAGAUCAUGUUGCAUCUUCUAGUUCAAGCUGUGUGAGUUAAUGUUGCUGAUAGCUCCAUGCUUGACAUCUCCAUUUUUUUAAUACUACGGCAUUUUAGAUUUUAAAAGAAUUUGCGACAUUUUACUAUAGAUGUGUAUAUAUGUGUGUGAUUGAUUUGCAAAUUUUCAAAGAUUUAUUUAGAUCAUUGCUCCUUUGAUAGCUUACUUUUUUACCUUUAUUUUUCAUUCUCCAGUUGACAUUAAUUUUUGUAGUACCAGGUAUUUGUUUCCAAUGAUGUUUAAACUUUAAUGAAAUGAUACAGCAGAAUAACUCAACUCUGGGGAGUUUAGUGAACUUGAAAUGCUUGUAAGGUUUUCCUGCUGUUGGUAUGAAUAACUCUUCACUGGAAUUGAAGAUUCAGAUUUUCAGUGAGGUGUCAUUAAAAUGACCUUUACAUUUCUUUAGUACUGUACUUUUCUGGCUUACAGAAGCCAGCAGUAUCUGACACUUGGAAGUAAUUUUGCCAAACAGAUUUUUAAAAAUAGGUCAUGUGUUCACAUUGUAUAAAAUUCAAAAGGCAUAAAAGGAUAUUUAAUGAAAGGUAUCCUUUCCUUCUUGUUCUCCAACCAUGCCACUCCUUUCCUCAGAGACAACCACUGUUCAAUUUCUUAUGUGUCUUUUUUUUAGUAGUAAUUCUGUUAAGGGAUUUAAAUUGUAACCUAUGGUAUAAUGAUGGAGGAAAAUACAUCUGAUAUUAUGUGACAGUUGACUGUAAACAAAUGUAACUGACUUUGGAUUGGAAAUACUGGAAUUCAGAUUUACAAUUAAGUGGUAUCUCAUUCAGAAUUAUUUGAGGUUGUUCUUUCAAUUAGCUUUUUGGGUAUUGCAGAAGACUGUUUUUUUGUGGCCCCCCCCCCCCUUUUAAAUUUCUUUUAGUAUCCAUUCUGGAGCCUCUGUUAUUUUUCACUACCAUCAUCCUUUGAGAACAGAUUUGAUUUUAGGAAAUAAUGCAAUCAAACUGAAUUCAAAUAAUUUAGAGAACUUGUACUUAAGUCUGGUGAAAAAGAUUAGGCAUUCAGAUUGGUCAUACUGUUUUAGGUCAAAUAGGAGUUGUAUCUAUAAAGUAAUGACCGAAUUUCUUGUGUGACUUGUAGAACUGGAUCUGAAGUCUGUUCCAAAAAAGAAUCUCUGAAAGCAUUUUAAGGAAUGCAACCUCACUGAAAUAGGUGUCAGUUUCCUAAUUUGAUUGUUCCAAAGUGUGAUAUGCUUUGAUGUAUAACUUAAGUUUUUUAAUAUUAAGCCUAUUUUCAUUAUUUUAAUUUGUUCUAAGUAUACGGUAGAAAAGCAAAUAGCAUCCUGUAUGAUAACCAACUAUGAAUCCAAUAUCGAGGAAUCAGACUAGAAAUUGAGAAUUGAUAAGGUUUUAUAAAUAUGCUUUUCCUUUUUAAGGGGGUAAAGGGA